UUCCGGUUGAUCCUGCCGGACCUGACUGCUAUCGGAUUGAUACUAAGCCAUGCGAGUUUUUGUAGCAAUACAAGGCAUACGGCUCAGUAACACGUAGUCAAUCUAACCUAUGGACGAGGAUAACCUCGGGAAACUGAGAAUAAUACUCGAUAGAUCAUUAUGCCUGGAACGGUUUAUGGUUAAAAUGAAUUUCGCCAUAGGAUGGGACUGCGGUCUAUCAGCUUGUUGGUGAUGUAAUGGACCACCAAGGCUAUAACAGAUACGGGCUCUGAGAGGAGAAGCCCGGAGAUGGGUACUGAAACACGGACCCAGGCCCUAUGGGGCGCAGCAGGCGAGAAAACUUUGCAAUGUGCGAAAGCACGACAAGGUUAAUCCGAGUGAUUCCUGCUAAAGGAAUCUUUUGUUAGUCGUAAAACCACUAUUGAAUAAGGGGUGGGCAAGUUCUGGUGUCAGCCGCCGCGGUAAAACCAGCACCUCAAGUGGUCAGGAUGAUUAUUGGGCCUAAAGCAUCCGUAGCCGGCUCUGUUAGUUUUCGGUUAAAUCCAUAUGCUCAACAUAUGGGCCGCCGGGAAUACUACAAAGCUAGGGAGUGGGAGAGGUAGACGGUACUCCGUAGGAAGGGGUAAAAUCCUUUGAUCUAUUGAUGACCACCUGUGGCGAAGGCGGUCUACCAGAACACGUCCGACGGUGAGGGAUGAAAGCUGGGGGAGCAAACCGGAUUAGAUACCCGGGUAGUCCCAGCUGUAAACUAUGCAAACUCAGUGAUGCAUUGGCUUGUGGCCAAUGCAGUGUUGCAGGGAAGCCGUUAAGUUUGCCGCCUGGGAAGUACGUACGCAAGUAUGAAACUUAAAGGAAUUGGCGGGGGAGCAC
rnacentral:rRNA from 1 species